GAUGAACGCUGGCGGCGUGCUUAACACAUGCAAGUCGAACGGGAAACCUUUUAUUGAAGCUUCGGCAGAUUUAGCUGGUUUCUAGUGGCGGACGGGUGAGUAACGCGUGGGUAACCUGCCUUAUACAGGGGGAUAACAACCAGAAAUGGUUGCUAAUACCGCAUAAGCGCACAGGACCGCAUGGUCCGGUGUGAAAAACUCCGGUGGUAUAAGAUGGACCCGCGUUGGAUUAGCUAGUUGGCAGGGUAACGGCCUACCAAGGCGACGAUCCAUAGCCGGCCUGAGAGGGUGAACGGCCACAUUGGGACUGAGACACGGCCCAGACUCCUACGGUAGGCAGCAGUGGGGAAUAUUGCACAAUGGGGGAAACCCUGAUGCAGCGACGCCGCGUGAAGGAAGAAGUAUCUCGGUAUGUAAACUUCUAUCAGCAGGGAAGAUAGUGACGGUACCUGACUAAGAAGCCCCGGCUAACUACGUGCCAGCAGCCGCGGUAAUACGUAGGGGGCAAGCGUUAUCCGGAUUUACUGGGUGUAAAGGGAGCGUAGACGGACUGGCAAGUCUGAUGUGAAAGGCGGGGGCUCAACCCCUGGACUGCAUUGGAAACUGUUAGUCUUGAGUGCCGGAGAGGUAAGCGGAAUUCCUAGUGUAGCGGUGAAAUGCGUAGAUAUUAGGAGGAACACCAGUGGCGAAGGCGGCUUACUGGACGGUAACUGACGUUGAGGCUCGAAAGCGUGGGGAGCAAACAGGAUUAGAUACCCUGGUAGUCCACGCCGUAAACGA
rnacentral:rRNA from 1 species